rnacentral:tRNA from 1 species
UGUCGUCCGGCGCGGGUGUCAUUGGCGUUGUCGCUGGCAUCGGCAGAUGUGACAGGUCGAUGUCGAACUCAGGGUUCCAGGUCGUGGACUGCCA